CGGAAAUGAUAUCUCCUCAAAUUCAAUAAAGUUGUGCCAUUCAUUGUAAUAACUGCCAGUCACAGGACAUCAUCACUGAAGGAGGCAGCAAGCAUAUGACUGUACCAGGGAUCUGUGUUGCAGGGUCAAAGAUGGUGUCGCUGUGGUUUCAACUGGUCACCAGCAGAGCAGAACGUCAGACCGGCAGUCACAGGUGCAGCAGCAAAAAAUAAUUUUUGCAUUCCCAGUGAUAAGGACUUCCACUGUGAAUGAAUGGAAGAAGUUCAGGGAGUUCAUCU